rnacentral:rRNA from 1 species
UACGUGGGGGGCGAGCGUUGUCCGGAAUUAUUGGGCGUAAAGCGCGCGCAGGUGGGAUCUUAAGUCCAUUUUGAAAGUUCGGAGCUCAACUCCGUGAGGGGAUGGAAACUGAGAUUCUUGAGUAUCGGAGAGGAAAGCGGAAUUCCCCGUGUAGCGGUGAAAUGCGUAGAUAUGGGGAGGAACACCAGUGGCGAAGGCGGCUUUCUGGACGAUGUCUGACACUGAGGCGCGAAAGCCAGGGGAGCAAAACGGG